rnacentral:lncRNA from 1 species
AUAUUACAACUUGGAAGAUGGUUUCUUGGAACUCCGCCUAGCUAUGAAUUCUUGCAUCUUCUUAAACUGCUCCGGUGUCAUUCCAUCGUAGUAUUCAUGACCCCUCUCCUGUAAAAAGAACAUGAAUUUAAAUUGGGAAAAUCAGCAUAAAAAAUCAUUAACCAAUCAAACAAGCUCAAGUUGCAAGGACAGAAUGCUAAAGAGAUGAGUAAACAGAAGCAAUGGUAGAACAUGGAUUCUUUGGAGGAAUCAUGUAUUAUCAGCCAUAUAAGGAAGAAAUGCGGGGAUUGAUAGAAGGGGACUAUGGAAUCAUCUGUUAUCUCUACAUAGGAAACUUUUUUAUCAAACCCCUAGCAUUACACUUGGCGAUUUUCAUUGAGAUAUUUAGGAUUGCCCUUACUGAGAAGGAGGCAACUGACUGGGAAUGGUUCCUACUAAUAGAGAAGAUCGCUACACAAAUCAACUAUUGGAUUCCGAAGUUCCUAUCUUAUGCAGGGAAAACUUUAACUCAUUCAGGUAGCGAUGUUAAAUAUCCAGAACAACUGGUACAGUUAAUUUUUCCUUCUUCCUGGAAGUGUCUAGGACAUAAUUAAUCAACUAUCCUCUCGGUUCUACUGAAUUAGACAGGGUAAAUCAGCCAAGGAGCAAGGUUACGAUGGAAGCCAAUUUGCAUAACUAGCUCUGAAAGACGAUUUGAGUUUAACAACUUAUGUUUGGUUUCUAUUGUCCCCAGUCGGUUCUCUUUUGGAUUGCUUGGAUUAAUAAUGCUCAUGUGCCCAAUGCAAAUCAAAACAGCAGCAGAACAGCAGACAAAUAUUGCAAGUAAGGCUGAUAGCUCUUCAGCUUACUAGGCAGCAAGGUUAAUCUCGAAUUUCCCUGAUGUCAAAUACUCAGGGUCCUCUAUGCAACCUGAAUGGCGUAAAACUAAUUUGGUUUCCUCUCCAAAUCCCAAAGCCUGCAAUGAUUUAUUGGAUGGCUACACUUAUUAGGCUGUCAACCAAGGAUCAUUCACUAUCCUGGAGGAUAACACCAUACUGUGCGUGUGUUCUCUGUCAGCCAGAGCAAGAAUUUAAAAACUACUUGUUCUUCAAAUUGUGCUCUCUAAGAAAGUCGCAAAGGAUAUUCUAUGUCAAUGCGAACUCAAAAAAAGCUAUAAAGAUACUUAAGCAGUGAAUCCUCGAUCAGAAUUGUAUUGAGUAUUGCUAGGACCUUCAUCUACCAGAUUUGAAGGGAGAUAAACAACAGAUUAUAUGGAACUUUUCAGCAGAUUACCAAACAUACCAUUAACCGUGCAAAGACGACCGUUAGCAGGGCUAAGAUACCAUGUAAAGACACAUGGAAUACAAUCUUUUUCACUUUCUUUUAUUCUUGUAUUGCAUAGCUUUGAUUACUUUCUUUUCAUUAUGUAGCAGCAAUUUCCAAGUUCUUUUAGAUAAAUAAAACCAUGCUUAUCCAAGAAAAGAUACACAUAAGCGUAAUGAAUACCUUUUCUAUGGCAAGACCCUGACGGAGAUCCAAUUUGUACCCAUCAUUGAUCAAAGACUUGUACCUGAGAACCAAGUCUUGACUGUUCUUCAUAAUUGCUCCUGCAAGUUGUCGAGCUUUAUUCAACACUUCAUUUUGGUCAACAACAUAAUUGACAAACCCCAAUUUCUCAGCUUCCUCUGCUGACAAAGGCAUGGCUGCCAACGACACU